GCCCUGUGGUUGCUGGAUGCUGUUGUGCAGGCACAGCUAUCCAGUAGAUACAAUGGGCCAUAGCAAUCCUGUGAUUUAUGCAUGGGGGCUGUUUCUCCUCAGCAGCCUCCACAGCCCAAUCACUGGCACAUGG